CUGUGCAGAGAUCAUGGGGCAGCUACCUAUAUGGCGAUGAGCUAGGAUAUAGUAGGAAGACAGUUACUGUUGAGUUGGAUGACAGCUAUCGAAUAACCGUCUAUAUUUUUGAUAGCACGUCAGUGAAAGAUCGAUGUGGAAUAGUUGACAUCAAUAAUUAUUCGAACUAGGCAUCAUGUCUUUGGUGUCAAUAAUUAAGUAAAUCGAAGUAAGAUGAUGG
rnacentral:lncRNA from 1 species